UGGGGGAUAUUGCACAAUGGGGGAAACCCUGAUGCAGCGACGCCGCGUGGGUGAAGAAGCGCCUCGGCGCGUAAAGCCCUGUCAGCAGGGAAGAAAAUGACGGUACCUGAAGAAGAAGCCCCGGCUAACUACGUGCCAGCAGCUGCGGUAAUCGUGCUCU
rnacentral:rRNA from 1 species